rnacentral:rRNA from 1 species
AGUCGUAACAAGGUUUCCGUAGGUGAACCUGCGGAAGGAUCAUUACCUAGAGUUUGUAGACUUCGGUCUGCUACCUCUUACCCAUGUCUUUUGAGUACCUUCGUUUCCUCGGCGGGUCCGCCCGCCGAUUGGACAACAUUCAAGCCCUUUGCAGUUGCAAUCAGCGUCUGAAAAAACAUAAUAGUUACAACUUUCAACAACGGAUCUCUUGGUUCUGGCAUCGAUGAAGAACGCAGCGAAAUGCGAUAAGUAGUGUGAAUUGCAGAAUUCAGUGAAUCAUCGAAUCUUUGAACGCACAUUGCGCCCCUUGGUUUCCAUGGGGCAUGCCUGUUCGAGCGUCAUUUGUACCUUCAAGCUCUGCUUGGUGUUGGGUGUUUGUCUCGCCUCUGCGUGUAGACUCGCCUUAAAACAAUUGGCAGCCGGCGUAUUGAUUUCGGAGCGCAGUACAUCUCGCGCUUUGCACUCAUAACGACGACGUCCAAAAGUACAUUUAUACACUCUUGACCUCGGAUCAGGUAGGGAUACCCGCUGAACUUAAGCA